rnacentral:lncRNA from 10 species
CUAAACUGGACCUGCCGCCUUAAUACAUAGACCUCCCCCAGCAAACGCUGAGCUUUAGAACAAUAGCUGUCUACCUGCCCCACCCUUGUCACUCUAGUGAAGCAGGAUAUUUUCCUGACCCCUUCAUGAGACUUGUGACAGGGGUUCCUUGUUUACUCAGCCCUGCAGCUCUCAACGCCUUGCAGGAGGUAGCAUAGAAGCGAACAAGGCGGGAACUGGAGUGCCCAAGUGUUGGAACAAGCUGGCUGCUUCGGUGCUGGCAGGGGCAAACUCCAAUCACUGGGACCCGCUACAUUCCACCCCUCACGGAAGGGAGCACGCAGAACAAUUUAGAAAUUGAUCUGCAACUGAUGGAAGCUGGGAUGAAUUGGGCGCAUAAGUGAACCCAAAGCAUCAGAGCAAAGUCAAAGCGAACAUCUGGCUCCAGCUUUGAGUACAAGAUUAAUAAAGGAGUCUCUCCAUAUCCUCUCUGUCCACGUUCGUUGUGGACGGGGUCACCAGGAAGAUGGUUCCUGGGUGAUGAGAGUGUCCAGGACAUUGUCUUCGGUGGACUACUGGCACAGGGACCUGAAUAAGACACUGGGAUUUACAAAGUGGAAAAGAAAUCACUGAGGGAUCCCUCAAGCCACUGAAAACAUGUACCAUUUGCCAUAAAACAGCAUUAAACAUUAAGUCAACAGAUUGCACAUGAAUAUCAACAAUCCUGCAAAAAAAGCCAGUCCCUUAAGAAACAUCAAGAUUGACAGUUGUCAUCAGAGAAAUGAUGAGGACCAGGAUCUUCAGGGUACCAUCUGGUGCUGUGUUUGAAGAAAAUGAGAAUGAGAGAUAUUUCCUCAAUAGAUGAAACUAUUGGCCCCAGCUCCAAAUUCACACUUGUUGCAGCAGUUAAUUCUGCAAAAUCACAGAAGGAAAAAAAGUCAGGCCAAGUUACAGUAGUUUCCAGACAGCCACUUCUGUUCCUGUUCCAAAAACUAUGACUAACAUUUGUCUGUCUGGAUGGUAUCAUUAAAUGAAAGGACUAAUAGUCUCUAUGAUGCCACCUGAAUUUCUUAUCGUUGUUUAUUUGUUCUCUCAUGAAACAUGCAUCAUAUAUUUACCACAUGCUGAUUAUGUAGAAGAUAAAAAGAUGAAAAAGAGAACCCCAGAAUGAAUUUUCCCUCUCAGGAUGGUAUGACAUUAAACAAAACUAAUCACAAUGCAAAAGAGUAAGUGCAGUACUCAGCUUUCAAGAUGACCCUCAACGAUUGCCCCCUGGUUUUUACCCCUUUGUGUAGUCCCCUCCUGUGCUGAAUUGUGGCUGCCUGUGUUACCAAUAAAAUACCAACAAAAUGACAGGGAGUGACUUCUGAGAUUUAGUCAUAAAAAAUAUUCUAGGUUCUGCCUUGCUCUUUCUUGAAUCACCUGCUCUGGAGGAAGCCAGUUGCAUGGGAAGACAUCCAAGCAGCCAUGGGUUGUGUAGAGAGAAACUGAGGCCUGCCAUCAGUAGCCAGCAUCAGCCUGCCAGCCAUGCAAGGAGCCAGUGUGGAAGCCAAUAUUCCAGAGCCAGUCAAGCUGACUUCUUGACUGAAACUCCAGGAGAGACCCUGAAACAGAAGGACAAAACCACUCCUGAGUUCCUGACUGAUAGAAACUGUGAGAUGAUAAAUGUUUUUGUCAUUUAAACUAGUAAGGUUUGGAGUAAUGUUUUGCAGCAAUAAUUAAUUAAAUAGUAAAGAAAAAAAUGCACUAAGAAAAAUCCAAAGUGAUAUAGGGGUUAUGAGGAAAGGUUUCAUGGAAGACAUAGCAUUUGAGUGAAGCCUUGAAAAAUAACAGGAUUUAGAAAUGCAGGGAUGAGAAAGAAGCCCAUUCCAGGUAGAUGGAACAAUGUGUGCAAAGCUACAGAGGUGACGAUUUGCCAGGGAUUAGGCAAACAUCAAAUAAUCUUGUUUGAUUGCAACAUUAGUCCCUCUCAUUUGCUCCAAGGUUGUCACUUUUGUGGUGCUGAGGCUAGAUGUAGGACGAUCUCUUGUUUGAAGCCAAAAAAGAGAUAAACACAUAAAGCUGAGCCUAAAAUUUAGCAAAGUAAGCUCAGUAAGUCAGAGAAAGAGUCCAAAUAGAUCGCCUUCUAUCUCUCUUAUCCAAGAAAUAAGCAAGCCUUGUAUGCCACUCUUUUAAGAGAUCUAUUUGGACUCCUUAAGAAGGGUCCAUGGGGCAGCCCGAGAAAAAGGGAGCAAGGAACUCAGAAAUGGCAUCUAUUCAGAAUGCAAAUCUUAUGGAUGAGUUUCUCUCUAAAUCUACAUGUGACUUGAUAUAUUUGGCAGACUAACUCCAUUGAAAGAUAACUCAUUUUAUAAUAUGGCAUUUACACAAACAUCAGAGAGGAAUAGUAAAAGAAAGUAAAAUUAUAG